rnacentral:lncRNA from 8 species
AUGCAGGUGGUUGUAAUGAUCGUUCAAAAGCUUAGUGUUUUUAAAACUGGGAGACACUCACCCCGCUUAAGGCUUCCUCCAUCUGUCUCCACCANNNNNNNNNNNNNNNNNNNNCACACACACACACACACACACACACACACACACACACACACACACACACACACACACACACACACACACACACACACACACACGACAGGUGUGUUUACCUCAGCACAGCCCAGUCAGACCAGGGACCUUGCAGACAGAUGUCCCACUGCUCCCCCUCAGUCAGAUCCAAACCUCCAUUGUCUCCUCUCCUUCCUCUCCCAGAGCCAGUCUAAUGAGCAGGAGGACCAGGCCCGGGAUGGAGGGGAGGAGAGGGCGACAGCUAGGCCGCAGCUUCCGUCCAUUACCACACACACGCACACUCAUUCACACACUGGUAGGAAAAGCCAUGGUGGCACCAUUUUGAUACAUAAUCAUGGAACCCGUGGCAGGGGGUUUCUCUGCAUGUGUUGGAUAUUCUCACACCCGGGCAGAAUAUUAAGCCCUAGGUAUUUUCUGUAAAAGCACUUACAUUUUACAUUUAAAUGUAUAUCAAAUCACUUAAUUGAAAUGUUAUUUCUGAACGUUUAAUUGGAAUACACAACAUAGUUUCAAUGAACACGAAUUUCCAUCCUAAUCAUUCAGUAAUAAUAAUAACCAUAUAGUUUCAGUAAGAGUUGCUGUAUAACCAUAGCUCGCUAUAUCAAACAUGUGCUCUGACAGCAACUUGGACAGGUCCACUUGAUGAAUGUGACUAUGGUGAGACCUGAGGACAGACCUGAGGACAAAGUCUGCAUCCCAAAUGGCACCGGAUUCCCUUUGUAGUGCACUACUUUUGACCAGGGCCAUAGGGCUCACAUCAAAACCUGUGCCCUAUAUACCGUACACUGUAGGGAAUAGGGUGCCAUUAGGGGCAGACAGAGUUUCAAUGCGAGCGGAGAGUAGCGGUGGGGUUUCUAUCUCAUCAGAGGUAACAGAAGGUGACAGGUGGGAAGGAAGGCAUGCAGUCAAUGAGGUGAGAAUCCAUUGAUCAGGUGAGCUGUGUGAAAAGCCUGCUGUGGGGAGAUCAGUAGAAUGACCAGGUUUUCUGGUCACUAUGAAAGUGAUAAGUGGUGUGCUUGGGAAGAAAAUGGCUAAUAUUCAUUAUUUAGGAAUGUAGGUAAGCGUUGUAUACAGAUAUCGCUAAUUGGGUAUAGUGAGAAAUUGCGUUAAGUUGAUUCAGUUGAAAUCCUUGAAAUCUAUAUUGUUUGAUAUACUGGACUGAAUGCGGUACCUUGUGCUACUGUGCAAAAUUACUGGAAGGUGUUUUAAUCAAAUGUUUGUUGUAAUUGUAUGUUGCAAAUAGUAGGUAUGUCUCCACUAUUUGUAAAUUAUAUCACUAUGUGCUACCAAUGGGUUUUCAACGUGAAUGUCUUGAGAAUGUUGAACAUUUUCAUAAAACCUUGUGUUUGUACAGUAGUCUCUCUCCUCACCCUGUGAAUGGGGCAUUCACACUAUGUGUUUGCUCAAAGCUCUCUAUCACCCAACAUUUUCUAUUUCCUGUUGCUGAUGCAUUGAGUGUAUUUUUUGGUAAUUUUUUGGUAAUUUUUCUUAUUGCUCAUAGUGUGGCAAGACCCCUUGGUACAGUAACACCAGGAGUCCUGAUACUGUAUAUAUUCAAUCUAAAUUAACCCAACAUGAUCCAAUAAUACUUUAUCUUGCAGGAUGUAGCCUUGCCUUAGGUAACCGUGGCCAGGAGAGAAGAGCCUGUGUGUAAGAUGGAUUGGGUGUGAAUGUGCGGGUGGCAGGCG